GCAACUUGCCACUGCUCUCCCACCUUGAUAUUUUCUAACUGGGAAGAUGGCAGCUCCUGCUGGAUUUCCUGUGUCAAGAACCCAAGCAGAGUUAAAGUAAAUUCUUGGGCAGUGAACGU